CGUGUAGGCGGACUCGCAAGUCGGUUGUGAAAUCCCUGGGCUCAACCUAGGAACUGCAUCCGAAACUGCUUGUCUUGAGUAAUGGAGAGGGUGGCGGAAUUCCCGGUGUAGAGGUGAAAUUCGUAGAUAUCGGGAGGAACAUCAGUGACGAAGGCGGCCACCUGGACAUUUACUGACGCUGAGACGCGAAAGCGUGGGGAGCAAACAGGAUUAGAUACCCUGGUAGUCC
rnacentral:rRNA from 1 species